CAGGGCCGUGUUGGACACUGAGGGGACCGAAGUCUCGGGCUGAGCAGGAUGAACUAUCAUUACAGACUAGAAUUUCUGAUGUCUCCGUGACUCCACUGCUUGGAACUGACGCAGCCCAGGGAGACUCGUCUGGUAGUCGCCCUGGCUUCUGCUAACUCACUGGUUUCUUCCCAGGCCCCUGAUUCUCGAAGGAGGGUCCGCAGCGCCUCGAAGGGGUUUAAGACGUUCACCGGUGUGUUAUUUUUGAAUAAAGCUUGAGAGCUUUGGAAGCCCAGCAGGGGCAGUGCCCCUUCACAGAGAUUCAGGGAUAGCCUGGUGGCUGAAGGCCUAAAGUUUGGAAUUUUCCUCUUGGAGAAGUGCUGUUGGGAUAGCUGGGAUGCCCAGGUAAUGGUUCCUGCCACUUCAUCGACAAGCUGUGACAAGAAGUGGAGAGUAGCGUGCCUCUACCUGGGUACUGUGAAUUUUGCUGACACAAAGGAUAUUCUUUACCUGGUGUCGGACAGAUCCUUGGAACUUCACGUCUUUCGUGCAUUAACCCGCGUAAGCAGCUGUCAAUCUCCUGGGGUGGAGGAGACUGCCUAGAAAUUUGGGGACCAAAAUCAAUUAGGUGGCCUUUACUUCGUCUUACCCAAAAGACUCCAAUAAAAUAUUUUAAAGCAAAUAAAAAAUAGAUUGGUCUUAGUGAAAACAAGACGGUACAGAAAGGUUUAGGGACAUGAAAGGUUAACCACCAGUGAAUGAGCAUCACAGUUGACAUCUAGCUGUACCUCUUUGCAGCCACAUACAAAAAGUAGAUUUGCCACAUAUAGACACCAAUGUUAAGGAUUUCUAGAUUGAUUGUGGUAGUAUUCUUAUAUUUGAGGUUUUUAUUACGCCAUUGACACAGACAUCCAAUUUGCCUUUUGAUCAAUUGGUGAAAACAUAGGUUGUCCAGAUAUAUUUUAAAAGAAUAUACUGGUGGUUGCCAGGGGCAGGGAAUGAGGAAAUGAAGAGUUGCUGUUCAAUGGGUAUAGAGUUUCCAUUUUAGAAGAUGAAAAGAGUUUACGGGGAUGGAUGGUGGUGAUGGUUGCUCAAUGUGAUGAAUGUGUUUGUUACUACUGAACUUUAUGCUUAAAAGUGGUAAAGAUGGGGGAGGGGAUAAAUUGGAAGAUUAGGAUUGACACAUACAUGCUACUACAUAUAAAAAAGGUAACUAAUAAAGAGCUAUUGUAUAGCACAGGGGACUCUACUGAAUACUCUGUAAUGGCCUAUAUGGGAAAAGAAUUUAACAAAAAAGUGGAUAUAUGUAUAGCUGAUUCACUUUGCUGUAUACCUGAAACUAACAUGACAUUGUAAAUCAACGAUACCCCAAUAAAAAAUUUUUAAAAAAUGGUAAAGAUGGUAAAUUUCAUGUGUAUUUCACUGCAGUAAAAAAAAAAAAUGGGGGAAAGCAUACUCUGUGCUCCUAUUUGUCAUCUUCAUAAAGGAGAUUCCCCACCAGCGUGUAAAGAGUAUGCUGCGGUAAGGCUGUAUUGUACAGUAGCCAGCUUCUGGUAAGGGGGCAUUUGAGUUUCUGGUCAUGGUAUAUACCAGUGCUGAUUCCCUAUUAAUUUGCACCCAUUUGAACUUGUGUUGUAGAAUACAUUUCCAAAAGUAGAAUUUCAGAGUCAAAGGAUUUGGGCAUUUAAAGUAAUGAUGUAUGUUCCAUAAAGUUGUCCCAGUUUAUACUCGUAACAGCAGUCUCCUUCAGAGUGCCUGUUUCUCUACCUGCCAUCACUACUCCAGGUGGAUUGUACCAGUUUGUGUACCUAAUAAUUCAUUUUUUUUAAAAUAAUUCAUCUUUUAAAUACUGCACAUCUUUUGCAUCUGUUUUCCUAUGGAAUGUUUCCAUCUUGGUCCCCACUCAGCAAAGAUUUUUUCCAACUUUUAUUUUCCUUAAUCGUCUUUGCCAGGCCUUUUUUUUUUUCCCGUCCUUGAAAUUGCCCUGUUUGGUACUCUCUACAGGACAGUUACCUGCUCCCAUUGCUAUUCCCUGACCACAGGUUCUGUAUAAUCUUAGCAGCCACCAUAUAUUUAGUGCUUUGGUCUGUCCUAGGCUUUUUAUGUGUUUCACUUCAUUGAAUCCUUAAAACCUUGCAAAGUAGAUAUGUAUCUACCCUACCUUGCAAGCAAGGAGAGGAAAGCUCAGGGAUGUUAAAUAAUUUGCUUAAGGUCACAGAGAUAGGAGGUACUGAGGCCCCUGGGCUGGACACUGGUGUUUGUCAAGUGGAGUAAAAUUGAAGCUUGGUUCUCACCCAGACACUCCAAGGACAAAGCAAGUGGCAGAAGCUGAGCUCUGCUGAAGUUAAGAGAUAAGAUGACCACUCCUGAGGUCAAGGCCUCUGCAGUGGAA